AGGACUUGUACUACUGUCUCUUGGACUUUUCGGAUUUUCUACGAGAAGGCAUUACUUGAGUUUGAAAAGCAUAGAUGGCAUGGCAGUGAGCUUGCUCUUCCUGAACCUUCUAGAGUUGAGAUUCGGGCUGAUGGUAGUCAAACUUGUGGAUCAGGCAGGACACUAAGGGAUGCUGCAGCA